CAAGACGGGACGGAGGAUCAGGGUGAGAUUUGUCUCCGCAGAGGCUGGGGUCCAUCACUCUGACGACAGUGAAAAACCAGGGACUUGGUUCGAUCCAGUGAUAGACAUGGCCCUGGCCAGCGGGCAGUCAUGGUUUCCACCAUUCGAACAAUUCCUGCGGGAACACUGGGACUAUCCAAAGACCGAAGUCUCCAACCAGAGCACCUACUGCGACAUGAUGAUGUGGAAUCUGGGACUAUAUGGGAAGCCGAAACACACCUUCAUCCAUGAACCCAUUGAGAAGAUCAUAAAUGUCUGCCGUGGGGAAGGGGAAUACCUCGGGGAUGGCUGUUAUCAGAGCAAAUAUUUUUUCCAAAUCACCAAGUGCAAAUUUAACCGCAUGUCCGGUCAUUACACCGGGUUAGGGAUGUGCACGAAAAUUGUCAU